AGUCGAACGCUGAAGGCCAGCUUGCUGGGUUGGAUGAGUGGCGAACGGGUGAGUAACACGUGAGUAACCUGCCCCCUUCUUUGGGAUAACGGUCGGAAACGGCUGCUAAUACCGGGUAUUCACUGUCCUUCGCAUGGGGGGUGGUGGAAAGGUUUUUUCUGGUGGGGGAUGGGCUCGCGGCCUAUCAGCUUGUUGGUGGGGUGAUGGCUUACCAAGGCUUUGACGGGUAACCGGCCUGAGAGGGUGACCGGUCACAUUGGGACUGAGAUACGGCCCAGACUCCUACGGGAGGCAGCAGUGGGGAAUAUUGCACAAUGGGCGAAAGCCUGAUGCAGCGACGCCGCGUGAGGGAUGACGGCCUUCGGGUUGUAAACCUCUUUCGCUCAUGGUCAAGCCGCAACAGUGGUUGUGGUGAGGGUAGUGGGUAAAGAAGCACCGGCUAACUACGUGCCAGCAGCCGCGGUAAUACGUAGGGUGCGAGCGUUGUCCGGAAUUAUUGGGCGUAAAGGGCUUGUAGGCGGUUUGUCGCGUCUGCCGUGAAAUCCUCUGGCUUAACUGGGGGCGUGCGGUGGGUACGGGCAGGCUUGAGUGCGGUGGGGGAGACUGGA
rnacentral:rRNA from 1 species